CAUCUUCAGGCCAGCUUCGAACGCCAUUUGUGGAAAUCGCGGAGGUGAACCUUUAUUCUCGCGCACCGCUAGCAAACACAACUAAUAACGACACCUCACGUUCACCAGCUCUGGAGGAUGGAGGUAAACAUUGCCCUCGUUUAUGGGAGGGACCGAAAUGGAGAUACAAAUCUCCAAGGGCAGGGACUUGGCCUCACAGAGAUGAUUAAUGC